AUUGAACGCUGGCGGCAUGCCUUACACAUGCAAGUCGAACGGUAACAGGUUAAGCUGACGAGUGGCGACCGGGUGAGUAAUACAUCGGAACGUGCCCAGUAGUGUGGGAUAGCCCGGCGAAAGCCGGAUUAAUACCGCAUACGACCUAAGGGUGAAAGGGGGGGAUCGCAAGACCUCUCGCUAUUGGAGCGGCCGAUGUCAGAUUAGCUAGUUGGUGGGGUAAAAGCUCACCAAGGCGACGAUCUGUAGCUGGUCUGAGAGGACGACCAGCCACACUGGGACUGAGACACGGCCCAGACUCCUACGGGAGGCAGCAGUGGGGAAUUUUGGACAAUGGGCGCAAGCCUGAUCCAGCCAUGCCGCGUGCGGGAAGAAGGCCUUCGGGUUGUAAACCGCUUUUGUCAGGGAAGAAAUCCUUUGGGUUAAUACCUCGGGGGGAUGACGGUACCUGAAGAAUAAGCACCGGCUAACUACGUG
rnacentral:rRNA from 1 species